GUGCGGUAACAUGCCCCAGGCCCCAGAUCAGGCACCCCUUUUAUAGGAUCCCUGCUCUGCAUUGGGAGGGGUACUGCUUCCAUCAUUGGUUUUCAGACCGAGGCCAGCAUGGAGAGGAUUCUGGUGUGUUUGACAAAACAAUCAUGCCACGCCAAGUAGCAAAUCCACCAACCCCAUUCACAACCAACAUCUCUCUCACUCUGAAAGUUUCAUGGAAUCUUCUUAAAAAAAAAAAAAAAAAGACUCUCAUACAAUCCAUUUGUAAGGUGGAGCCCAGAUGAAUGUGGCUACGUCAGUAUGACAUCCAAGAACCUAUGAAUUCAGGAUCUCCUCAUCAAGAAGCUACAGGUCUAGCUGUCUUCAGUCAAAGCUGCAUCAAGAAUAGGAAGCUGACUCUGGUGGUGUCUGCCACCUGCAGAUCUUGUCAUUGCCCUUUGAUGAGUGGGAACUGUGCACUUGCCCUGGCCCUUGCACCUACUCGGUACUGGGCAUGAAGGAAAUGUUUUGUCAUCCUUCAAAUACACCAUAGAAGCUUCCUGGAACAAGAGAGAGCCAGUGUUUCCAGCACUCCUCUAGCAGCAAUGAACAUGACUGUAGUCACCAACCACAAGAACCAAAUCACUUUUGUGCAC
rnacentral:lncRNA from 1 species